CGUCUAGGCGGGACGGCAAGCGGGAUGUGAAAGCGCCUGGCUCAACUGGGCGAGUGCGUUCCGAACUGCCGUUCUAGAGGUCAGGCGAUGGGGGUGGAAUUCCCGGUGGAGUGGUGAAAUGCGUAGAGAUCGGGAGGAACACCAGUGGCGCAAGCGGCCCUCAAGCCUGAACCUGACGCUGAAGCGCGACAGCGUGGGGAGCAAACG
rnacentral:rRNA from 1 species